rnacentral:rRNA from 1 species
UGACAUAAGUAACGAUAAAGCGGGUGAAAAGCCCGCUCGCCGGAAGACCAAGGGUUCCUGUCCAACGUUAAUCGGGGCAGGGUGAGUCGACCCCUAAGGCGAGGCCGAAAGGCGUAGUCGAUGGGAAACAGGUUAAUAUUCCUGUACUUGGUGUUACUGCGAAGGGGGGACGGAGAAGGCUAUGUUGGCCGGGCGACGGUUGUCCCGGUUUAAGCGUGUAGGCUGGUUUUCCAGGCAAAUCCGGAAAAUCAAGGCCGAGGCGUGAUGACGAGGCACUACGGUGCUGAAGCAACAAAUGCCCUGCUUCCAGGAAAAGCCUCUAAGCAUCAGGUAACAUCAAAUCGUACCCCAAACCGACACAGGUGGUCAGGUAGAGAAUACCAAGGCGCUUGAGAGAACUCGGGUGAAGGAACUAGGCAAAAUGGUGCCGUAACUUCGGGAGAAGGCACGCUGAUACGUAGGUGAAGCGACUUGCUCGUGGAGCUGAAAUCAGUCGAAGAUACCAGCUGGCUGCAACUGUUUAUUAAAAACACAGCACUGUGCAAACACGAAAGUGGACGUAUACGGUGUGACGCCUGCCCGGUGCCGGAAGGUUAAUUGAUGGGGUUAGCGCAAGCGAAGCUCUUGAUCGAAGCCCCGGUAAACGGCGGCCGUAACUAUAACGGUCCUAAGGUAGCGAAAUUCCUUGUCGGGUAAGUUCCGACCUGCACGAAUGGCGUAAUGAUGGCCAGGCUGUCUCCACCCGAGACUCAGUGAAAUUGAACUCGCUGUGAAGAUGCAGUGUACCCGCGGCAAGACGGAAAGACCCCGUGAACCUUUACUAUAGCUUGACACUGAACAUUGAGCCUUGAUGUGUAGGAUAGGUGGGAGGCUUUGAAGUGUGGACGCCAGUCUGCAUGGAGCCGACCUUGAAAUACCACCCUUUAAUGUUUGAUGUUCUAACGUGGACCCGUGAUCCGGGUUGCGGACAGUGUCUGGUGGGUAGUUUGACUGGGGCGGUCUCCUCCUAAAGAGUAACGGAGGAGCACGAAGGUUGGCUAAUCCUGGUCGGACAUCAGGAGGUUAGUGCAAUGGCAUAAGCCAGCUUGACUGCGAGCGUGACGGCGCGAGCAGGUGCGAAAGCAGGUCAUAGUGAUCCGGUGGUUCUGAAUGGAAGGGCCAUCGCUCAACGGAUAAAAGGUACUCCGGGGAUAACAGGCUGAUACCGCCCAAGAGUUCAUAUCGACGGCGGUGUUUGGCACCUCGAUGUCGGCUCAUCACAUCCUGGGGCUGAAGUAGGUCCCAAGGGUAUGGCUGUUCGCCAUUUAAAGUGGUACGCGAGCUGGGUUUAGAACGUCGUGAGACAGUUCGGUCCCUAUCUGCCGUGGGCGCUGGAGAACUGAGGGGGGCUGCUCCUAGUACGAGAGGACCGGAGUGGACGCAUCACUGGUGUUCGGGUUGUCAUGCCAAUGGCACUGCCCGGUAGCUAAAUGCGGAAGAGAUAAGUGCUGAAAGCAUCUAAGCACGAAACUUGCCCCGAGAUGAGUUCUCCCUGACCCUUUAAGGGUCCUGAAGGAACGUUGAAGACGACGACGUUGAUAGGC